rnacentral:lncRNA from 1 species
AGCGGAGAAAGGACUUAAGCUCCAUUCCCGGGCUGCCCUUCCAAGAAGGGAUAGAGGGAGGGACAGCGAGUCCUCCUAAGCAAAGGGAGAAAGGGGUGGAGAGUGAGGGGAGGUAGAAAGAAAUAAGAGAGGGAGAAGAUGGUGAGAGCGGCCGAGGAGAGAGGGCUAAGAAAGACAGUCAGCACCAGGAUCCAAAGAGAAAAAGAGAAGCGCAGUGAGCAAGAGAGCCGGGGACCCAGUGAGAGACCGAGCGAGGAGAGCAGACAGAGAAACGCGACAGAGACCGGGAGAUGAAGAGAGACAGAGGGAGGCCGGCAGAGACGGACAGAUCCAACAGCCAGAGCUAGUGACAGUGACCGGGGCGUGGGGGGCGAAGAGCGCGCGGAGCGGGCGCGGGACGGCGGCGGGCGGGGGUGGGGGAGGCCCGGGAGGGUGCGCGGCGGGGCCUCCUCCUCCGGGCGCCGCCGCCCCCGCCCUCGGCCGCACGCGCCCGCAGCCUAAUGACCGCAACCCCGCCGGAGACGCGCGGCCCGCGCCGACUCCAGGCGGCCGGCAGCUGGCGGCGCGGGGCCGGUCGGGGAGCCGCGAGCGCCGCAGAGACGGUGGCAGUCCCUCGGCUCGGCGGGUCCUGAUUGACUUGUCAGCCGAGGCGACAAAACAGCCCCUCGGAACCGCGCGCCGGGUCCUUGGCUGCCCGGGCGCCGGGGCCUCCCUCCCCGCGCUUCGGCCGGCUCCCGGGCCGGUUCCGCAGGCUGGAGCGCCCCGCGGCCCCGAGGAGGGAGCCCCCCGCCCCCCGGCCCGGGCCCCGGCGCCCCUCCCCGGCCCUCCCCCGCCCCCAUUUCGCAUCUCCUCCGGCUGGGCCGGGCUCGUCCCCAGGCCCCGGGGCUGCCAACUGCCCCCUCGCCCCCCCCGGGCACAGUGCCAGCCCCCCCAGUCCUCACCCUGCCGCUCCCCCCCCAGCCCGGCGCUCCCGCCUCCCGCCCCCCGGCCCCGGCCCGGGGCCGCCCGCAGAGCCGGCCACACCCGCUGCGGAGGACUCGGAAAGGUAAGGAGGCUCCGAGGCUCGCCCCAGGGGCCUUGGGGGCGGCGCGGGGCGGGGGCGCGCGCAGGGGCCCACCGGGCACCCGCGGACUCGGACCGGGGACCGCCGCUGCCACCGAGCCGGGGACGCGAGAGAGCCCCGCCGGGGCCGGGAGGGCUUUGGGCGAGUUAGAAUUGCAUAGGGAGGACCUGGUGGGAAGUGGGUGAGGUAGUUACCCUACUGUCGGUCCUGGGACCCGGGGGUCUUGCUCUCAGGGACAGAGAUAUCUGUCCUUGUCGUUCAGCUUUAAAGAAUUCCCUUCCUCUCUCGCCUUCAUCUCUAAGUCUCUAGAAAUUUAUGGGACCAUUUUCCUGUGUCUCUUUUGAAGACUCAACUCUCUGCCUCUCUUUGGCAAAAAGAGGCUCUUCUCAUUUCUUGCCCCAAUUAAGCGUAUUCUCUCCCUGCUCCAAUUUAAAAGGAUUUUCUUCCUCUUUCUCCCUCCCCAGUUUAG